rnacentral:siRNA from 1 species
UUUGUGACCCAUGUAGCUGCGA